AACAUAAAAGAAUUCUAUGUUACGGCCAUAGAUAUGAUAAUAAGUUAUCUUAUGUUU
rnacentral:tRNA from 4 species